CGGAAAACACCAAGGCACCCGGGGAGGGGGCGACCCGAUGUGGCGGGGAGGAGUAGGAGAGACCAGGAUUGGCGGGAGCGGUCCAAGGGAGUCAGCCGGGGAGGGCGAAAAGGGUGGGGAAAUCAGGGGCAUGGGGGCGUGGGGGCGUGGAGGCGUGGGGGCGGGGGGAGUGAGCGGAACCAAAGAAGCUCCGGGAGAUCCGGGUGUUAAAAGCUGGUUGGAUGUGAGUGGAAGGAACUCAGAAUAUAGGAGGAAGGAGACCCGAAACGGCACCGGAGGGAUUAUAAAAAAAAGGAAAAGAAUGGGGAUGAUGGUGGCCUUCCCUUCAGUGAGUGGGCUCUGGGAGAAAGGGAGGAGGAUCCAUCAGGCCUAGGCGGUUGAAGAAGGUUAAGAACCUUUUGGAGAUGGAGGAGGUAUGAUGUGAAGUAGCCCACCCCGUCGAAGGCAUUUACAUUGCUGGCGCAUUCCCUCCUCUUACCGGCCUUUUCCACCUCAGAUCCCCCUGUCCUACCCAUCCUAGCUUUAACUCAGCCAUAAUUGCCUUGCUUAAUCCCAGGAACCUGGCCACUGCUCCUUGGUCCUUGGCAUUAUGACGGGAUUCCCUUGUCACCUCUGACAGUUCCUGGCUGCGGUGUCCGCGGACUGGCUGGGGAGUGAUGACAGGUAGCCAUCAGAGCUCCAGCCUCCAGGCAGCUUUAGGGAUUAAAACGGAGGCCAAAGCAACUCCAGACCUGUUUUUAUAGCCAAAUACUGAGCCUCAGUGGUUGUACACUCAGGGGCUUCCAGGAAAAUGCCAGCCUUACUUUUCUGGGGUGCCUUUUAAUAACCUCCAAGCACUUUAUGGACUGUUUGUCGAGGGACGGUGAAUCAGGAGAAUCACUAUUCUGAUUUCCUUUGUCUCCGAAGAGGAAGUCCCUGACUAGCUAUAUAACUUUGGGCAAGUUACCUCUCACCUCUUUGUGCCCCAGUGUUCUCCUUGGGAAACUGGAUUUAGGUUAGAUGAUCUUUUAAGGCUCCUUGUAUGAUAUUUUGUGAUCUGUGCAUGGCAGAGUAUAGAUUAGAAGCCACAUUUUCCAACCUAGUGCUAUAGUUCAGAAUACAUAGCACCCCAAGCGUCUGGCUGGAGCCGAGGAUGGGUCCUCCAGUUUUUGGCACAGAUGUUCCGGAGCCCAGGAAGCAUCCCAUAACCAACCUUCAGCCCCACCGCCACCCCCAGCGUAUUCCAGAGCCGCUUCCAAACCACAGCCUAUCCUCUGCUCCAUUUCGCUCUUGCCCUCACAGACUUGCAGCCUCCAUGCUCUGAGACAACUGUGCGUAGGUACAUCUCUGUUGGUGAAAAUGAUGCUUAAGAACCCCAAAGAUUAAAGGAAACAAUGUUAAGGGCUUUUGUGAGGAUAAAAGAUAAUGGGUAUAUGGAAUAGAAACAUUUCAAAUGAAGAAUCAAAGCAUUUCAAUCAAUCCACUUGGUUGUAAAAAAACAAACAAACAAACAAAAACAAAAAAACACCAAAGCAACUUGAAUAGUAAAUGGCACCAGAAGAUGGCGGUCUGCUCCAUAACCAGAGCAAGUGCAGUGGGAAAGCUGGACUCUCAUACCCACUCACAUUCAUGCCUUAUAUAAGCCUCUCCUCCUGGUUAACCUUAGCAGGGGAGUGAUUCCUCUGCUGGUUGCUGUUUUUCCUUUUCUCUUACCCUAUUCCUAACCUCUUUGCUUCUCUCUUUCUUUCCUUGUGUCUCUUCCUUCUCUUUUCUUUUUUCUUUUAACAUAUAGGGUAUUUUUUUCUUUUAACAUAUAGGGUAUUUGCCUUCAUUUUGUUUAUUUCCAUUUGUUUCCUUCUUCAUUCAUGUUCAUCUCUGCUAUUCCUUCUCCCUCCAGAAGGGAUGGAAACCCUAUUUUCUUUUCUCCAAGACCAUGGUUGGUCUGCUUCCCUCACUCGGGCUCCUUGACAGUCUUCUAGAAGAGAGGAGGAGGAAAAGAAGCAGUUCCUGAUGUUACAAAUGAACAAGGAUCUCCCAGCCUUAGUCUUUGAGAAAAGAUGGCUGAAAGAGAGGAACUCUCCAAGUCAUUCCGCAAACAAAUGCCCAUUUAAACAUCAUCCUUGUCUUGUGAAGAAAACAGGAAGAAUGUCAUGCACCGUGUGGAUCACCUUCAGUUCAAAGUUGCAGCAAAGUGAAGAAACUACUGGAAGCCACCCAGCAAUGCACUGUUUAGUCAUCAAUUAGGAGCCCAUGGGAGGAUAAUAGGGAGACUGGGUGGAGGCUCAGUGUGUAAUAAUCUCUUGUCUAAUGUAUGUGUGUCACUGCCAUGUUGUAUGAACAAUAGUGAGGGCUCACAUUUACUUAACACUUGUGUACUCAAAUCUGGGUUUUUCUUUCUUUCCAGAACUAUGACUCAAUCAUAAAAUCUGUUUUGUUUGCAUGCAUGCCCAAAACAACCCUAUAGGUAGAACAUUAUCAUUAUCUCUGUUUUAGAGAUGAGGAAACAGGCUCAGAGAAGCUCAGAAAUUUGUUCAAGAUCGCACAGCUAGUAAAUGGCAGAAGUAGGAUUGUGAACCCAGGGAAUCUCCAGAGCCUCUGUGUAACCAUGAUAUUAUAUUUUUUUCCUCUUUAAAAACAAAAUUAAAAACCUUGCUAUAAUCUCUUAUUAGGA
rnacentral:lncRNA from 1 species